GCCCGGCUAGCUCAAUCGGUAGAGCGUGAGACUCUUACGGCAAGCGUCUACGAACAUCUCAAGGUUGUGGGUUCGACCCCCACGUCGGGCU